UCGAUUUGGAGUUUGUUGCCUAGAGUGAUGGGCUCCGAAGCCAACGCGAUAAAUCGACCGCCUGGGGAGUACGGCCGCAAGGUUAAAACUCAAAUGAAUUGACGGGGGCCCGCACAAGCGGUGGAGCAUGUGGUUUAAUUCGAUGCAACGCGAAGAACCUUACCUGGUCUUGACAUCCACAGAAUCUUGCAGAGAUGCGAGAGUGCCUUCGGGAACUGUGAGACAGGUGCUGCAUGGCUGUCGUCAGCUCGUGUUGUGAAAUGUUGGGUUAAGUCCCGCAACGAGCGCAACCCUUAUCCUUUGUUGCCAGCGGUUCGGCCGGGAACUCAAAGGAGACUGCCGUUGAUAAAGCGGAGGAAGGUGGGGACGACGUCAAGUCAUCAUGGCCCUUACGACCAGGGCUACACACGUGCUACAAUGGCGUAUACAAAGGGAGGCGACCCCGCGAGAGCAAGCGGACCUCACAAAGUACGUCUAAGUCCGGAUUGGAGUCUGCAACUCGACUCCAUGAAGUCGGAAUCGCUAGUAAUCGUGAAUCAGAAUGUCACGGUGAAUACGUUCCCGGGCCU
rnacentral:rRNA from 1 species